AGGGAAUCUUCCACAAUGGACGCAAGUCUGAUGGAGCAACGCCGCGCGAGUGAAGAAGGUUUUCGGACCGUAAAGCUCUGUUGUUGGUGAAGAAGGAUAGAGGUAGUAACUGGCCUUUAUUUGACGGUAAUCAACCAGAAAGUCACGGCUAACUACGUGCCAGCAGCCGCGGUAAUACGUAGGUGGCAAGCGUUGUCCGGAUUUAUUGGGCGUAAAGCGAGCGCAGGCGGAAGAAUAAGUCUGAUGUGAAAGCCCUCGGCUUAACCGAGGAAUUGCAUCGGAAACUGUUUUCUUGAGUGCAGAAGAGGAGAGUAGAACUCCAUGUGUAGCGGUGGAAUGCGUAGAUAUAUGGAAGAAUACCAGUGGCGAAGGCGGCUCUCUGGUCUGCAACUGACGCUGAGGCUCGAAAGCAUGGGUAGCGAACAGGAUUAGAUACCCUGGUAGUCCAUGCCGUAAACGAUGAGUGCUAAGUGUUGGGAGGCUUCCGCCUCUCAGUGCUGCAGCUAACGCAUUAAGCACUCCGCCUGGGGG
rnacentral:rRNA from 1 species